rnacentral:rRNA from 1 species
GGCUCACCAAGGCGACGAUGCGUAGCCGACCUGAGAGGGUGAUCGGCCACACUGGGACUGAGACACGGCCCAAACUCCUACGGGACGCAGCAGUAGGGAAUCUUCCGCAAUGGGCGAAAAGUCUGACGGAGCAACGCCGCGUGAAGUGAUGAAGGUUUUCGGAUCGUAAAACUCUGUUGUUAGGGAAGAACAAGUACCGUUCGAAUAGGGCGGUACCUUGACGGUACCUAACCAGAAAGCCACGGCUAACUACGUGCCAGCAGCCGCGGUAAUACGUAGGUGGCAAGCGUUGUCCGGAAUUAUUGGGCGUAAAGCGCGCGCAGGCGGUUUCUUAAGUCUGAUGUGAAAGCCCCCGGCUCAACCGGGGAGGGUCAUUGGAAACUGGGGAACUUGAGUGCAGAAGAGGAGAGUGGAAUUCCACGUGUAGCGGUGAAAUGCGUAGAGAUGUGGAGGAACACCAGUGGCGAAGGCGACUCUCUGGUC